rnacentral:lncRNA from 1 species
UGUUCAAAUUUCAUUUUUAUUAAAAGUAUUUCCUAAAUUGAUAAAAUUCAGUUGAUAGAUACAAAGAAUAGGUCUAGGUUGGUUAAGACUUGGUCGAGUAUGGUUCAGACUAGGUCGAGUAUGGUUCAGACUAGGUUGAGUACGGUUCAGACUAGGUCGAGAAUGGUUCAGACUAGGUCGAGCAUGGUUCAGACUCGUAUAAAAUGGUUAAGAACUGGUCAAGUACAAAUUCAGACUGAUAAGUAUGGUUCAGACUACAGUCGAGUAUUAUCAAGUAAAUUUCAGACCAAUUCAGACUGGUCUAGUA